AACGAACGCUGGCGGCGUGCUUAAUACAUGCAAGUCGAACGAGAUCUCUCCCUUGGGCAACCUUGGGGGAUGUAUCUAGUGGCGAACGGGUGAGUAACACGUGAAGAACCUGCCCCGAAAACUGGGAUAGCCCAGGGAAACUUGGAUUAAUACCGGAUACCCUCGAUUGAUCGCAUGGUCGAUCGAGGAAAGGUCCGCUGUUUCGGGAGGGCUUCGCGGCCUAUCAGCUUGUUGGUGAGGUAACGGCUCACCAAGGCAAGGACGGGUAGCUGGUCUGAGAGGACGACCAGUCACACUGGGACUGAGACACGGCCCAGACUCCUACGGGAGGCAGCAGCAGGGAAUAUUGCGCAAUGGGCGAAAGCCUGACGCAGCGACGCCGCGUGAGGGAUGAAGGCCUUCGGGUUGUAAACCUCUUUCAGUGGAGAAGAAGCGAAAGUGACGGUAUCCACAGAAGAAGCCCCGGCCAACUACGUG
rnacentral:rRNA from 1 species